AUUUAUACAUUAACAUCGUAAUUAAACCCAAUAAUUUUAAAUUAGGGUUUUUGAUUGAAAAAUUAGGGUUCUAAAAUUAGGGUUUCUUAACGCCAUCAAUUAGGGUUUCUAAUUGACCAUUAGGGUUCUCUAAUUAUCUGUGUGUGUUCUAACACAGUCGUUACAGACUCUAACUUCAACCGAUUAGGGUUAUAAUAAUUAGGGUUUGUCCUAAUUAUCAACGUACAACAGUAAUUAGGGUUUCCUUCUAAUUACCGACAUUCUUAUACAC
rnacentral:lncRNA from 1 species